rnacentral:rRNA from 1 species
UACGAAGGGGGCUAGCGUUGCUCGGAAUUACUGGGCGUAAAGGGCGCGUAGGCGGACAGUUUAGUCAGAGGUGAAAGCCCAGGGCUCAACCUUGGAACUGCCUUUGAUACUGGCUGUCUUGAGUUCGGGAGAGGUGAGUGGAAUGCCGAGUGUAGAGGUGAAAUUCGUAGAUAUUGGGAGGAACACCGGUGGCGAAGGCGGCCCUCUGGACCGGUACUGACGCUGAUGCGCGAAAGCGUGGGGAGCAAACGGG